GACAGAGGGGGCAAGCGUUGCUCGGAAUCACUGGGCGUAAAGGGCGCGUAGGCGGGAUGGCAAGUCGGUCGUGAAAUCUCUCGGCUCAACCGAGAAACGUCGGCCGAUACUGCCGUUCUUGAGGGAUGCAGAGGAGACUGGAAUUCCCGGUGUAGCGGUGAAAUGUGUAGAGAUCGGGAGGAACACCGGUGGCGAAGGCGGGUCUCUGGACGGAUACUGACGCUGAGGCGCGAAAGCGUGGGGAUCAAACAGG
rnacentral:rRNA from 1 species